GCUGCCCGAAAAGCAAGGCUUCAAUCUUGAUGGGCGCUCAGAAGGGCAGUGGCACUCAGGGGAGAGGGAGAGUGUGCUUUUGGUGCUGCCGUCUGUGAAGACAGUUUCAUGCUGUAGGGGAGGUGUUCUUGUGCUUGGAGGUCAGAUAACUCCUUUAGCUACUUUAACCUAGAAAGGUGGUUAACUCCUGUACCAGUGGGAUCUGUCCUUUAGCCGACCGUGUGGGGGCUCUCUGUCCCAUGGUGCCCGUCCAGACCUUAAAUGAGUUGUUUAUCUUGGAAAAAAAAAUAAAGUGUCUAGUGUUCUCAGCAGCUGGCCUAUCGGAGAAAAAAAAGGAUCUGAAAUGGAUCAGGCCUUUAUGAAGCUGAUCCUGAGAUGAAAAAGUAUUAUUAAAUGUUGUUUUUUAAGGUAUUAAUGACAGGAGAAAGACAGUGGGAAAUGAAAUGUAACAAAGGUCCCAUGCCAGGAAUCGAAUCAAACCAGGGACAUUACGAUAACAGCAUGGUAUUCAUUUCAGACAAAACAAUUGUUUUUUAAGGUAUUAAUGACAGGAGAAAGACAGUGGGAAAUGUAACAAAGGUCCCAUGCCAGGAAUCGAAUCAAACCAGGGACAUUACAAUAACAGCAUGGCAUUCAUUUCAAUCACUACGCCACGACAGGCAUAGCGGCGCCAUGCCCUCCUCGCUCUGUGCAGAUGAGCUGAAUAGACCCUCUGAAUUGGUGCCUUAUGGUGCCACUUCACGCUACAGUGAUGCUGAGGAAUCCUCCUCCCAAGGCUCCUAUACAGCAUUGAUCCUGCACUGUAUGUACCCUUGCAAGGUAUUAUGUAUGCCUGUUAUAUGCUUCAAUGCCACAACAGACUGUAGUUAUGAACUGAUGUACACUGCAGAGAGAAAAUGUAUCAAAUGGUUGAACUUAAAACCUUUCCUGGCUGAAAAACACUGUAUUCAUUUUUACAACAAAACAGCCGUGCACUGAUCUAUCAUUGAUAUAAGCUGUUGUUAUGUAUUGAAGCUGGAUUACUGAUCAUCUUGUUCUAUAAUAAAGGAACCGUGUCUGAAACAAA